GAUGAAGAACGCAGUGAAAUGCGAUACGUAAUGUGAAUUGCAGAAUUCAGUGAAUCAUCGAGUCUUUGAACGCACAUUGCGCCCCCUGGUAUUCCGGGGGGCAUGCCUGUCCGAGCGUCAUUGCUGCCCUCAAGCACGGCUUGUGUGUUGGGCCUCCGUCCUCCUCCCGGGGGACGGGCCCGAAAGGCAGCGGCGGCACCGCGUCCGGUCCUCGAGCGUAUGGGGCUUCGUCACCCGCUCUUGUAGGCCCGGCCGGCGCUUGCCGACACAUCAAUCUUUUUUCCAGGUUGACCUCGGAUCAGGUAGGGAUACCCGCUGAACUUAAGCAUAUCAAUAAGUGGAGGA
rnacentral:misc_RNA from 1 species